UGGGGAAUAUUGGACAAUGGGGGCAACCCUGAUCCAGCAAUUCUGUGUGCACGAAGAAGGUUUUCGGAUUGUAAAGUGCUUUCAGCAGGGAAGAAGAAAGUGACGGUACCUGCAGAAGAAGCGACGGCUAAAUACGUGCCAGCAGCCGCGGUAAUACGUAUGUCGCAAGCGUUAUCCGGAAUUAUUGGGCAUAAAGGGCAUCUAGGCGGCCCUGUAAGUCUAGGGUGAAAACCUGCGGCUCAACCGCAGGCCUGCCCCGGAAACUACAGGGCUAGAGUAUCGGAGAGGUGGACGGAACUGCACGAGUAGAGGUGAAAUUCGUAGAUAUGUGCAGGAAUGCCGAUGAUGAAGAUAGUUCACUGGACGGUAACUGACGCUGAAGUGCGAAAGCUAGGGGAGCAAACAGGAUUAGAUACCCUGGUAGUCCUAGCUGUAAACGAUGAUUACUGGGUGUGGGCAUGAAGAGUGUCCGUGCCGAAGCAAAUGCGAUAAAGUAAUCCGCCUGGGGAGUACGGCCGCAAGGCUA
rnacentral:rRNA from 1 species